rnacentral:rRNA from 1 species
UACGUAGGGUGCAGGCGUUAAUCGGAAUUACUGGGCGUAAAGCGUGCGCAGGCGGUCUUUUAAGUCAGAUGUGAAAUCCCCGGGCUUAACCUGGGAACUGCGUUUGAAACUGAAAGGCUAGAGUGUGGCAGAGGGGGGUGGAAUUCCACGUGUAGCAGUGAAAUGCGUAGAGAUGGGGAGGAACACCGAUGGCGAAGGCAGCCCCCUGGGCUAACACUGACGCUCAGGCACGAAAGCGUGGGGAGCAAACAGG